UACAGGGGGUGCAAACGUUGCUCGGAAUUAUUGGGCGUAAAGCGCACGUAGGCGGUUCGUUAUGUCGGAUGUGAAAGCCCUUGGCUCAACUGAGGAAGUGCAUCCGAAACUGGCGGGCUAGAGUAUGUAAGAGGGUCGCGGAAUUCCCGGUGUAGAGGUGAAAUUCGUAGAUAUCGGGAGGAACACCGGUGGCGAAGGCGGCGACCUGGGACAAUACUGACGCUGAGGUGCGAAAGCGUGGGGAGCAAACAGG
rnacentral:rRNA from 1 species